GAUGAACGCUAGCUACAGGCUUAACGCAUGCAAGUCGAGGGGCAGCAUGAACUUAGCUUGCUAAGUUUGAUGGCGACCGGCGCACGGGUGAGUAACACGUAUCCAACCUGCCGAUGACUCGGGGAUAGCCUUUCGAAAGAAAGAUUAAUACCCGAUGGCAUAGUUCUUCCGCAUGGUAGAACUAUUAAAGAAUUUCGGUCAUCGAUGGGGAUGCGUUCCAUUAGGUUGUUGGCGGGGUAACGGCCCACCAAGCCUUCGAUGGAUAGGGGUUCUGAGAGGAAGGUCCCCCACAUUGGAACUGAGACACGGUCCAAACUCCUACGGGAGGCAGCAGUGAGGAAUAUUGGUCAAUGGACGAGAGUCUGAACCAGCCAAGUAGCGUGAAGGAUGACUGCCCUAUGGGUUGUAAACUUCUUUUAUACGGGAAUAAAGUGAGGCACGUGUGCCUUUUUGUAUGUACCGUAUGAAUAAGGAUCGGCUAACUCCGUG
rnacentral:rRNA from 1 species